CAGUCGAACGGCAGCAUAGGAGCUUGCUCCUGAUGGCGAGUGGCGAACGGGUGAGUAAUAUAUCGGAACGUGCCCUAGAGUGGGGGAUAACUAGUCGAAAGACUAGCUAAUACCGCAUACGAUCUACGGAUGAAAGUGGGGGAUCGCAAGACCUCAUGCUCCUGGAGCGGCCGAUAUCUGAUUAGCUAGUUGGUGGGGUAAAAGCCUACCAAGGCGACGAUCAGUAGCUGGUCUGAGAGGACGACCAGCCACACUGGGACUGAGACACGGCCCAGACUCCUACGGGAGGCAGCAGUGGGGAAUUUUGGACAAUGGGGGCAACCCUGAUCCAGCAAUGCCGCGUGAGUGAAGAAGGCCUUCGGGUUGUAAAGCUCUUUUGUCAGGGAAGAAACGGUAGUAGCUAAUAUCUAUUACUAAUGACGGUACCUGAAGAAUAAGCACCGGCUAACUACGUGCCAGCAGCCGCGGUAAUACGUAGGGUGCAAGCGUUAAUCGGAAUUACUGGGCGUAAAGCGUGCGCAGGCGGUUGUGUAAGUCAGAUGUGAAAUCCCCGGGCUCAACCUGGGAAUUGCAUUUGAGACUGCACGGCUAGAGUGUGUCAGAGGGGGGUAGAAUUCCACGUGUAGCAGUGAAAUGCGUAGAUAUGUGGAGGAAUACCGAUGGCGAAGGCAGCCCCCUGGGAUAACACUGACGCUCAUGCACGAAAGCGUGGGGAGCAAACAGGAUUAGA
rnacentral:rRNA from 1 species